rnacentral:lncRNA from 1 species
GUAAAAUUUGUGGCUAGGGGCUGUAGAGAGUGUGUGUGUGGGGGGCAUAGUGUUAUAGGGGAUGUAGCGAGUGUGUGUAUACGGGCUGUAGUGUGUGUGUAUAGGUGACGUAGUGUGUGUAGGGGUUGUAGAGGGGUGUGUAGAGAGAAUGUUGUAUGUGUUUGCUGACAAGGAAUGUAGUGUGUGUGUAGGUGGUGCAGUGUGUGUGUGUAGGAGAUCUAGUGUGUAAAGGACCCAGAGUGUGUAUAG